AAGACUAUAGACCUGCGGAGUACCUGCGGAAGGAUCAUUACCGAGUUAUACAACUCAUCAACCCCUGUGAACUUACCUACAACGUUGCUUCGGCGGGAACAGACGGCCCCGUAAAACGGGCCGCCCCCGCCAGAGGACCCCUAACUCUGUUUUUAUAAUGUUUUUCUGAGUAAACAAGCAAAUAAAUUAAAACUUUUAACAACGGAUCUCU
rnacentral:misc_RNA from 1 species